AGAAUGCAUAUUCUUAGAAUGAAAGCUCCGGCGGUUAUUGAUGGGCAUGCGUGACAUUAGCUAGUUGGUGAGGUAACGGCUCACCAAGGCUACGAUGUCUAGGGGUCCUGAGAGGGUUAACCCCCACACUGGUACUGAGACACGGACCAGACUCCUACGGGAGGCAGCAGUAAGGAAUAUUGGGCAAUGGACGCAAGUCUGACCCAGCCAUGCCGCGUGAAGGAUGAAUGUCCUAUGGAUUGUAAACUUCUUUUAUGCAGGAAAAACAUUCCGGUCGUGAACCGGGACUGAUGGUACUGUAUGAAUAAGCAUC
rnacentral:rRNA from 1 species